rnacentral:rRNA from 1 species
AACGAACGCUGGCGGCAGGCUUAACACAUGCAAGUCGAACGCCCCGCAAGGGGAGUGGCAGACGGGUGAGUAACGCGUGGGAAUCUACCCUGAACUGCGGGAUAGCUCCGGGAAACUAGAAUUAAUACCGCAUGUGCCUUGAGGGGCAAAGAUUUAUCGGUUCAGGAUGAGCCCGCGUCCGAUUAGCUAGUUGGUGGGGUAAAGGCCUACCAAGGCGACGAUCGGUAGCUGGUCUAAGAGGAUGAUCAGCCACGUUGGGACUGAGACACGGCCCAAACUCCUACGGGAGGCAGCAGUGGGGAAUAUUGGACAAUGGGCGCAAGCCUGAUCCAGCCAUGCCGCGUGAGUGAUGAAGGCCCUAGGGUUGUAAAGCUCUUUCGGUGGGGACGAUAAUGACGGUACCCACAGAAGAAGCCCCGGCUAACUUCGUGCCAGCAGCCGCCGUAA